GAGUCUACGGGAAGGUUAGGAGCCCUGUUCCUGAGUUGGGGGCUGGGGAGAGCAGGGAGUAUAUGUCCUGGCUGAGGGCCGGAUGUGCAUGAAUACCCAGGGCUCUGAAGGGAGGGGAAUAUGCCAGAAGGAGAGGUUGCUGGGCAGGACUAAAGCAGGAUAUUGGGUGAUUGGUCUUAGACUUGUGAGGGAGGGAAGCAGAUGAAAAAUUGUCCGUGAAAGUGCAAUUAUGCAGAAAGGCAGAAAAAGGCCAGACAGAGUGGAAACCGUGUUGGAAGGCAAAGACUUAUUGCAGGAAUACUGUAUGUUUGGCUCAAAGCUAGGUCCUGGAAACAAUCUGAAAAAAAUCCUCUACAUCCUGAGAUGUCUGCUGUCUAAAUCUUGGGGCUUGCAGAGUGGGUUCACUCUUCCGCUCUUCUGCCAUGUGAGGAUGCAGUAAGAUGACCCUCAGCAGAUGCUGGUGCCUUGAUCUUGGACUUCCCAGUCUCCAGAACUGGGAUGAAAUGCUGUGAUGGGUUGCACGCCCACAUCACCACUCUGCUGUCGGGAGAAGAGGAAGGCACGUUCCUCCCAAACACAGGGACUGAAAGCAGUUCUGAAGGCUGAAGUCCAAGACCAGGGUGGCAGCAUGGUCAGGUCCUGGCGAGGGCCAUUUUCCGAUGAGAAAACUGAAGCUCAGAGACAGAAAACGAGGUCUUCAGACUCCAGGUCCAGAGUGUCAUCCCCCACCAGGUAGGACUGCUUUCUUUAGGGCCCUGGACUCAAAAGAGCAUCUGCAGUCGGCCUUUUGGACCACACAGGACCAGAGAGCCUUGGUGAAGAGUAGGUGGUUAGGGCUGUCAGGAGCACUUUUUGGUGGGCCAGAAAAGCAGGGACAAGCACAGGUGGACCAAGGAGCUGCACUCCGAGGCCUUGGGCCAAACCUGAGGGUACUGAGAAAAAGAGAGGCCUUUGAGAAGACAGAGGUGCUCGAAUUCCCCAGGUUUGCUCCUUAAUGGAGCAUGCGAGGGUCUUUCUCACAGCCAGACCCAACCUAGUACCGAUGUGUGAAGACACCAAGUACAGAAAGCCCUUCAGUCACCAGAGAUGGCCUGACUCCGAGCUGAGGGCCAGGCUGCCAGGAAAGCCAUCUGCUCUCCCGGGAGUCCAGUGACUCAGAGAUCCAGUCUGGAAGCCCUGCUGUGGGGGCACAAGAGACCAUUCGCCCCAACAUUCCCGGCCUCUCUACGGGGCUGGUGAGUGCAAGCAGGAGGGAGUGACAGUAUUGGUGAGGAAUGAAAUUGCAGCGGCUGUGUGAUGCUGUAAAUAUUUGGUUUGAAACAGCAGAGACAUUCAAGAUAAAAGUUAAAUAGAAAUAAAAGCAGUCAGAUGUUUAUUAUAUGUUGCCAUAAAAUUCAAGAGCAGCCUAAAAAGGCAGAUCAGGAUUUGUUUAACAAAUAAGAGAGGAGAAUGAAGGAGGUAGAGGUUUGACUGUGGAAGGGUGUAUUUUGCUGGAAUCUGGACAGUGAUAGAAGCAAAGUGAGAAUGACUCGGCCCUUAGACUGGGAGAAUGAGUUGUCCUUAGGUGGCUGAGAACUGGGGGAUUUCCCCAGGUCUCAAGGCCUUAAAGGGACCCACAAGUCCCCUGGCUGUCUGCAUUUCCUGCCCGUUGCAGGGGGCAAGCCCCAAGGGGAGAACAGGGUGGAAGAUCUGGGGGAGCUAAAUUCUGGGAGCGCAGGCAAUGCGGAAGCACGGUGCACACAAGGAUGUCCGGGGAGGGGCAAUGCUGGUACUGUGAGGCUGAUGGAGCCUUUUUUUCAGUCCUGCUCCCUCUCCAUAGCCAGCUCCUCAGGCCACCAUCAGAUUUUAGGCAGGGCUCAAAUGAGGAACUGGUCCAUAGUAACACAAAAUAACCCAGCUAGAAGGGCCCUUUACAGAGCUCUGUACUUGUCUAGGGGGUGGCAAGCUUUUUCUGUAAAGGGCUAGCCAGCAAAUAUUCUCCAUUUUCUGAGUCAUUCUGUCUCUGUUGCAACCGCUUUGCUCUUGCAGCAUGACAGCCCCCAUACACGAUCUGUAAAUAAAUGGACAAGGCUGGGUUCCAAUAAAACUUUAUUUAAAAAAGCAGGCUGGCCAGGCACAGUGGCUCACGCCUGUAAUCCCAGCACUUUGGGAGGCCGAGGCAGGUGGAUCACCUGAGGUCAGGAGUUCAAGACCAGCCUGGCCAACAUGGUGAAAACCCAUCUCUAUUAAAAAUACAAAAAUUAGCCGGGUGUGGUGGCAGGCAUCUGCAAUCUCAGCUACUCAGGAGGCUGAGGCAGGAGAAUCACUUGAACCCGGGAGGUGGAGGUUCUAGUGAGCCGAGAUUGUGCUAUUUGCACUCUAGCCUGGGUGACAGAGCGAGACUCC